rnacentral:rRNA from 1 species
ACUUCGGUCUGGUGGCGAGUGGCGAACGGGUGAGUAAUGUAUCGGAACGUGCCUAGUAGCGGGGGAUAACUACGCGAAAGCGUAGCUAAUACCGCAUACGCCCUACGGGGGAAAGCAGGGGAUCGCAAGACCUUGCACUAUUAGAGCGGCCGAUAUCGGAUUAGCUAGUUGGUGGGGUAACGGCUCACCAAGGCGACGAUCCGUAGCUGGUUUGAGAGGACGACCAGCCACACUGGGACUGAGACACGGCCCAGACUCCUACGGGAGGCAGCAGUGGGGAAUUUUGGACAAUGGGGGAAACCCUGAUCCAGCCAUCCCGCGUGUGCGAUGAAGGCCUUCGGGUUGUAAAGCAC